rnacentral:rRNA from 1 species
AAUCUCCAGCAGAGUACUCUGGACAAACUGAUCUCAUUGGAUUCCAGAAACUAAGCAAGGUUGCACUUGUUUAGUACUUGAAUGAAGGACUACUAGAGAAUACCUGGGAGAAUA